AGUGAACGCUGGCGGUAGGCCUAACACAUGCAAGUCGAACGGCAGCACAGGAGAGCUUGCUCUCUGGGUGGCGAGUGGCGGACGGGUGAGGAAUACAUCGGAAUCUGCCCAGUCGUGGGGGAUAACGUAGGGAAACUUACGCUAAUACCGCAUACGACCUUCGGGUGAAAGAGGGGGAUCGCAAGACCUCUCGCGAUUGGAUGAGCCGAUGUCGGAUUAGCUAGUUGGCGGGGUAAUGGCCCACCAAGGCGACGAUCCGUAGCUGGUCUGAGAGGAUGAUCAGCCACACUGGAACUGAGACACGGUCCAGACUCCUACGGGAGGCAGCAGUGGGGAAUAUUGGACAAUGGGCGCAAGCCUGAUCCAGCCAUACCGCGUGGGUGCAGAAGGCCUUCGGGUUGUAAAGCCCUUUUGUUGGGAAAGAAAUCUUUCAGGCUAAUACCCUGGGAGGAUGACGGUACCCAAAGAAUAAGCACCGGCUAACUUCGUG
rnacentral:rRNA from 1 species